rnacentral:rRNA from 1 species
UACGUAGGGGGCUAGCGUUGUCCGGAAUCAUUGGGCGUAAAGCGCGCGUAGGCGGCCAGAUAAGUCCGGUGUGAAAGCCACAGGCUCAACCUGUGAAUGCCGCUGGAAACUGUCUGGCUAGAGUCCGGAAGGGGCGAGUGGAAUUCCUGGUGUAGCGGUGAAAUGCGCAGAUAUCAGGAGGAACACCAAUGGCGAAGGCAGCUCGCUGGGACGGUACUGACGCUGAGGCGCGAAAGCGUGGGGAGCGAACAGG